CAUGGUUAGGAAAGGAAUCAAGAGGAAGAGCAAAGAAGCCCAGUAAGUAGUAACGGUAGGACCGUAAUAAAGACUUGAAAAUUCUCAAUAUCCUGUCUUGGCCAAUUGAGAAAAUGCUGGUGGUAAGCCAAGGAACAGGAGGAGCUCUAUCAGCCAGAAAAUGUACUCACAUAGCUCCUUUCAAAUUCACCCACAAAAAGCCACCUCUCUUCUCCAAUACCACCGGACCCAAUUUUAUUUCGAAGAAACAACCCUUUUAUCUAACUCUCGCUAAAGCUGAUGGAGGUUUAGAUUCUUCCUCUGCAACCAAACAACCUCUUUCUAGCAACAAUUCACCCCCUCCUCCUCCCUCUUUCAGCAGUGAUGACACCGUUUUCGUGGGCCAAGAGAAUGUUCCUUUGGAAGGUGUUAUUCAAUUCGAGAAGCUCACUUCUUCUUCACGUCUGGACAAAUGGGGUCGCAUGGCUUUAUUUGCUGGUGGAGAUGUAUUGGCUCUGCUUUUGUUCUCUGCAAUUGGAAGAUUUAGCCAUGGCUACUCUGUGUUUGACCUUGACACACUGCGCACUGCCGACCCUUUUAUUGCCGGGUGGUUUUUGGGCGCUUACUUCCUGGGAGGUUAUGGCGAAGAUGGACGUGGAAUGAAUGGCAUUUCUAAGGCGAUUGUAGCUGCUGCUAAAUCAUGGGCUCUGGGAAUUCCUCUGGGAGUAAUUAUAAGGGCAGUAUCAUCUGGACAUAUUCCACCUUAUACUUUUAUCUUAGUAACAAUGGGAAGCACUGCCGUUUUACUUAUUGGAUGGCGAGCUCUAUUAUCAAGCAUUCUUCCUAAUAAUGAGAGUAAGAAGAAUGAUGUAUACCGGCGUGGUAGCCCCUUUGAACUAUUUGAGUUGCUCACAUCAUUAGUGCGAAGGUGGUGAGUACGAAAGCCAUUUUGUCUGUGAUUGUACCUGUGAUGUUAUGUUCUCUCGAGGCAUCAAUAUCUUUCUUUUUUGACUUCAUACUGUUUGUAGCCAUUAGCUACCAUUGUAACAGCAAUUCCUGCAAUGCAAGACAAUAGAAAAACAAAGUUACAUUCCCAUCUUUCUUUUAUUCUAUGGAUAGUCAAGUGUUUGUCAUCCACGCAAUGCACUUAAUAUCCGGACUAUCAAGCAUUGUGCAGAAUAAUAAGGCUAGACUAGGGUAAGAGCUUGAGAGUGGGUUAAUUUAGCCAUAUGAAAGGUUCAAGAUUUAUAAUUUCUGUUACCUCUUCUUACUGAUGAUAAUUAAUUGUUUGAUAUCUGUUUUUAUUUACUUUUUUCUGUUGAUAGUUUAGCACUUAGGUCAUGUAUUUUCGCUUCCUUUGGGCCUAUGUGUAUGGAAAACAGAAGAGUACCCUGUUUGUAUAUAAGUUGCAAAAUGCAUGAACUACCCACUAAGGGUAAAAAAGAUAUAUGUA